CGUGAGUUCGAUCCUCACACGGGGCA
rnacentral:piRNA from 3 species